CUCUGGGUCUCGCACGCAGCAGCUGCAGACGCUGCCCGGCGCGGUGGGGCUGUGAGCAAAACGGCCCGCCGGUGUGGUUGCCCAGACUGUGCUGGGCCCUCCUAGGUGGAUGGCCCUGCCCCAGCCUAACUUCUGUACCCCAGCAUAACCUCCAAAGUAACAGCCGUGCCCUGGGAGCCUGUUCAACACUGAACAUAUCCCACAAUAACACUGUUCCAGCGUCGCUGGUAAAAAGCAGAAAUGGCUUCGCUGGAGGCAUCGACAAAUCUAAUGCAGUAACCUCAUUUUACAGAAGAGAACUCUAAGAGGAUAACUAACUUGGCCAAGAUCACAUGAUGUUUCUGGAUGAGAUUAGCAUUCAAAUUCGUGGACUCAUUAAAGUAGAUGGCUCUCUCCAAUAUGGGUGGGCAUCAUCCAAUCUGUUGAAGGCGUGAAGAGAACAAGAGAAGGAGGAAGGAAGAAUUCACCUUUUUUCUUGCUGCCCACCUGCUUGGGCUGGGACAUUGCAUCUCACCUUCUCCAGCCUUUGGAUGAGGAUUUACACCCUGGUUCUCAGGCCUUCAGGCUCUAACUGGAGCUACACUAUCAACUUUCCUGGGCCUCCAGAUUGCAGAUGGUGGAUCACGGUACUUUUUAGCCUCCAUCAUAAUAUGAGAAAAAAGAGGCACAGUGAAGCUAAAUAUAUUGGCUAAAGAUCACAAAGCUAAGAAGAUUAUCAAGGUUAUCUGUGCUCAAUGUGUGCAUCUCAGAUCAGCAGCAUCAGCAUCACCUGGGAGCUUGUUAGAGCUGGAGACUCUCAGGCUCCACGGCAGACUUCCUGAAUCAGAAGCUACAAUUUAACAGGAUCCUCGGGUGAUCUGAAAAUGCAAUAAAGUUUGGGAAGCACUGCUGUUGGUCAUUAGACAAUCUAAUGAACUAAGACUUUUGCCGAGCAUCUGAGUUGAAAUUUUUCAAGAUGAAAAGUUGCUAAAGAAAGAGAAAGGGAAGCGGUUUGCUCCAGUAUUCCUCUUUCCACCUUCCCACUGACUGGGAAGCGGCGGUUAGCAGAGCCACAGUCUUGGAUUAGAGAUAAGAGGGACAUGUUGAGGAAGGUGGAGUCUCCCCCACAGCCCUGGACCAGGCUCCAGUGCCAACAAAAGCCAAGAAGAACCUCUGGAGCAAUCAGUCUAAAUUAGUUGAUAACGUCUUCCAGGAGACCUACGGCCAUCCUACUGAUAUGAACCAGAUCAUACCUGCCCUGAUGGGAUGCCAGAGAAAGACUGCUGCAAGGUACGCGCCACUCACAGACCUCUCCAUUUAUCUCACUGAUGCAAAGGACCCUGAGUAGGGAUCCUCUGGAAACAGAACAGAGGGAAGAAGAUACCUUCCCUGAAGCCCAGAUGUUCCAGAAGCCUGCGCCUCAUUCACAAAGUCACCCCAAAAAUGCCCUAGAGUUUGGAGUUUUGAAGAAGCGGGAAGAAGGCCUGAGUAAGGGCCUGGGAACCAAGUUAGAUCCUACUUCAGCAUCAGCACAUGCCAGCGAUGGUGCACACAGGUGGAGAGCGGCCUGCCCGUCUUUUCCAUGGUGCCCACAGACCCAUUUAGGAUGAAAGAUCAGAAAAUUCUCUCCAUGUCACCGCUUCUGAAACAUGUGAAUAUUAAUAUUUGGUGCCUAAAAGGCCAUGGCAAAUUUUCAUUGGUUUUAUCUUAUUCAUGAUUAUAGAGUUGAAAGAAUACAUAUUCCCAUGGGGAUCAAUGAAGACAUUCUCAUUUUGAAUGAAGUAGAAUAUAAGUUGUAAAGAUAUAGAAUUUUCCUGAACUGAACCUUGAACCAAAAAUCCCCUCAAUUAACCUGGAACUAAACACAGUCCCUGAAGAUAACAAGGAGUUUCAGGAUGCCACAGGGCUGUCUGUGCAGUAUGGGGCUUCUUGCUCUAUCUCUGGUAUCUGAGGCAGAUAGGCUACUCAGGCCCCUCUCUGGUCUCAAGGUGGGCUGGCUGAGAUGUCAGUUUCUUCCUCAGUGACAGCUUGGGUACAGUAUGUGUAAACUGAUUGUCAGCUGAGCUGAAGGGACUCUGCCCAUAUUGGAGUGUUCUACAAGAAGAGGUGUCAAACCUAAAGGUCUAAAAUUACUAUGAAAGGAGUAUUGGAAACCACUGGGACAAUUGUGAUCACAACUGGUGGUAGCCUUCUCGUUUGGGUGAGAAAGACAGAAAGGAGGAAGAUGUGUUAGUCAAGGUUCUCUAGAGGGACAAAACUAAUAGGAUAUAUGUAUAUAUGAGAGGGAGUUUAUUAAGGAGAAUUGACUCACUUGAUCACAAGGUAAAGUCCCAAGAUAGGCUGUCUGCAAGUUGAGGAGCAAGGAAGUCAUUGGUGGAUUGUUCUGGGUACCAAAACCUCAAAAGUAGGGAAAUCGACAGUGCAGCCUUCAGUCUGUGGUCAAAGGCUCGAGGGGCCCUGGCAGACCACUGGUGUAAGUCCAAGAGUCCCAGAAGCUGAAGAACUUGGAGUCUGAUGUUUGAGGGCAGGAAGCAUCCAGCACAGGAGAAAGACGGAUGCUGGAAGACUUAGCAAGUCUGUUCUUUCCAAUUUCUUCUGCCUGCUUUUAUUCUAGCCAUGCUGGCAGCUGAUUAGAUGGUGCCCUCCCAAAUUGAGGGUGGCUGUGCCUCUCCCAGUCCACUGACUCAAAUGUUAAUCUCCUUUGGCAACACCCUCACAGACACACCCAGGAACAAUACUUUGCAUCCUUCAUUCCAAUCAAGUUGACACUCAAUAUUAACCAUCACAGAAGGAGAAUUUCAGGCUGAGUCCAAACACUAUGGCCCCAGCCCCAGCUUCCCCUUUCUGGGUUGAAUAACCAGACUGAGCCUAAGAAAAGGAAAAGAGUUGACUUUCUCCCAAAAGGCCUGCAGCGGGUUAGAAAGCAAUGGUUUGGGGACCAUACUGAGUGCCUAGGAUGCUCUGGACCACAAAGCUUGAAGUCAAAUUGUUCAUGCACUUGUUUCAUGAUAGGAAGAGAGAGAGAGAGAGAGAGAGAGAGAGAGAAAUUUCCUUUCCUUGAAGAAUGGCAAAACACGUCUCUUGUUCUGGGGGCUAUAUCUUGAAGGGUAUCUGAUCUCCCCCUCAUGGGAGGAACUAGAAUGCCCUAAGGCAGCCGUGGCUCCUGGAGCUGAGAGAUCUUUCUGACACUUUGUGAGAGCUGCAAGGCUAAGUCUGGAGCCAGAAAAGUCCAUGUGGACAAGUGCAGAGCAAGCAGAUCUGAGACACAUGUGGGAGCAAGCUGGACAUGUCCAAAAGUCAGAGGAAGCAAGAGCAGACAUGCAUGAGCAGGCAGAUGAGGCUGGUGCCCAGGCAGCAGGCUGAGGCUCUGGCUGGGCUUUGGAUGCUCCUGAGAGUCCAGUUAGAGACCAGUGAGCAAACCCACAGUGAACUCUUAUUCCUCACGCAGCAGGACGAGGGAUUAAGCACAAAGCCUUAAAGGUCUGAGUGUCUCUUUAUCCUGACCUCAGGAAAGAGAGGCAAGUAUCAUGUUUCUAAAAGUCUGAGAAGUCUUCACAUGACAGCCUACACCAAAAGAACUCAAAUGCACAUCCACUGCAUACACGCAUGUGUGCACACAUAUACAUGUGUACACAUGCAUGCCCACACACAACCCUCUGGAAGAGGAAGUAAAGAGACUUUAUGUUUUCAGCCCCUCUUGAGGAAACUUAAACUAAGUCUUUCUGUGGGGUUAGUGGUGGAGACAGAGAGGGUCUGGGGUCACCGAGGCCGAGGUGGCUGGACCCAGAGGGUAGAGCUGAGGGGAUCCCCUGAGACUGGGAAGAUGGAGCAGAAGCAGAUGGCAGAUGGCAGCAGGUGAGAGCAGACUGGAUUUCUCCUAAAUCACCAGAUCCAGCCAACCUUUCUUUCCUUAGGGACACCUCUAGAUCCCAUUCCAAAUGAACUCUUUCUCUGACCUUUCACCUCAAUUCAGAAUUUGGGAAAUUUAGCCAUGAUCUUAGGAACACAGAGGCUUGAAACAAUCUUUUCUAACCACCCGUUUGUUCAGACUGUGUAAGUUCUGCUUCUGCAUCCAGUGUCAACACCCAAGAACCAUUUUAAAGGGGAGCCAUCCUUUGAAAUUAAACUUCUUUUAAUAAUAAAGACAGAUUUCAGGGUUGACAUAAAAGAUAGCCACAGUAAAGCCAAUCCUCCAGUGUAUAACAUUUUUCAAAGUUUCCUUCCUCUUCAUUGCUGGUGUUCAUGUACAGUCCAGAGUUAGUCUACAUUAAAUUAUAGAUUGUUUUCAGCAAUAAUGCAAACAUUUGGAAGCCUUCAAACUCUCUGAUAACUAACUUCUACAUUCUCUCUGCUAUUAUUAUAUAGAAAGGGAAAUUUUACCUGAUGCUGUUAAAGUCCUCACGAACAUAGUGAUCCGAAUUGGCUGAAGUGGAAAACUAAAUGUUAGCUGAUUUUCAAAACAAGAUUUCCACUCUGAAUUCCCAUUUUUCACAUGUGAUCAUAUGCCUUGUUGUGAAGUUGAACUAAAAAGAAACUCCAUGCCCACUGGCUUAAUGCUAGAAGAUAAUCUACAGCAUAGUAAUUUCUUAGACUUCACUUUAUUAGCCACUAAACUUGGAAUGAUUAUUUCUAUGUUCAAUUAUUAAGUCUAUAUCUCCAUUUCUUAAAAAGGUCUGAGGCAGCCCCUUUGAAUAUUAAUACGCAUUUAUUUUCACCUCUCAAAUAAAA
rnacentral:lncRNA from 1 species